rnacentral:rRNA from 1 species
UACAGAGGUCUCAAGCGUUGUUCGGAAUCAUUGGGCGUAAAGGGUGCGUAGGUGGCUCCGUAAGUCGGGUGUGAAAUUUCGGAGCUUAACUCCGAAACUGCAUUCGAUACUGCGGUGCUUGAGGACUGGAGAGGAGACUGGAAUUCAUGGUGUAGCAGUGAAAUGCGUAGAGAUCAUGAGGAAGACCAGUGGCGAAGGCGGGUCUCUGGACAGUUCCUGACACUGAGGCACGAAGGCCAGGGGAGCAAACGGG